rnacentral:rRNA from 1 species
UACGUAGGUGACCAGCGUUGUCCGGAUUUACUGGGCGUAAAGAGCGCGCAGGCGGUCGUUCAAGUCGAGUGUGAAAGCCCCCCGGCUCAACUGGGGAGGGUCAUCGAUACUGAUCGACUGGAAGGCAGGAGAGGGAAGCGGAAUUCCCGGUGUAGUGGUGAAAUGCGUAGAUAUUCGGAGGAACACCAGUGGCGAAGGGCGGCUCACUGGUCCGGUACUGACGCUGAGGUGCGGAAAGCGUGGGGA